rnacentral:tRNA from 1 species
GGGCCGGUGGUCUAGGGGUAUGACGCUGCCCUCGCACGGCAGAGGCCCCGGGUUCAAAUCCCGGCCGGUCCA